ACAGAGAGCCAUACAGCGUCUGGGGGCCCCAGCCUCCUCACUGUCCUUUUAGGCCUGGUGUGUAUGGCAGCUCUUAUGCUCCCAACUCUGGGAGAGCAGGAAUCCACAGUGCCUGUCUACCUCCACUUAAGUGUUAACAAGAAACUUGUAGCUGCUUAUGUUUUAGGUCUUCUUACAAUGGUUAUUCUGCGCACUUGAAGUGCUCUUGGAAACGAUCUCGUUGAAAGGAACUAAAAUGAUGAAGAGGGCAGAUAUGGACAUUAACACAGCCAGGAGGGGUUGUGAGGAUGGAGGGGAAGCACGUCUGAGAAACUCCCUAUAAACAGGAACUAACUUCUUAAAUGAUCAUCACAAACUCACAGACACAAUGAAGACACAAAGAUCCACGGGCGAGGGGAGGGGAGCGUUCUGUGUUUACAGGCCUAACACUGACUGAGCUGCCAUUGAAUCCGGCUGACUAUUAUGCUAAGUGGGAGGGGGUGUAGAGGAACAUGAAUACAUUAAAUUAAAUGUGUUGUUAUAUGUCA